rnacentral:lncRNA from 1 species
GUCCCACUAGAUAAGCUCAGCACUUGUGGUGUUCAGUAAUAUGUGUUCUCUGACUCUGCAUGUUAGAUCCUGGGGACUGAAUCCUGGGGCCUUGCACAGGCGAGGCAAGCACUGAGCUAAAUGUACAGACCUUUUUGUUUUAUUUUGCCCAGGUUGUCCUCAAACUUGGCAAUUCUCCUGCCUCAGCCUUCUCUGACGAACUGGAAUUACAGGCAUGUACCACUGUACUCAGCUGUUAGAUCUUUUCUAAGUAAGAUCUGUGAAUUAAAAAAUUCAAGUUGGAAAGGGAUGACACAUGAUUUGAGAAUGGCAGGAAGAAACUUUGCCUUGAGGAGGAGGGACAGUACACUGGGGGUAAGUAUACAUGAUUAUGCAGCUGCAGAGGCCUCUGAUCAAGACGUGGCCCCCAAUAUCAAUAACUAAUAAAUAUUAUUAUUCAAUAGCUAAUCAAAGAAAAUCUGAGGGAAUUAAGGCAGCAUGAUGUUAUGCAAAAAAGGUGUGUGCCCCCCCACACACACCUUUCACAGGUCAGCUGUAUUCCUCAAUGCAAAUCCUGUCACUCCUUGUCCCGUUCCAUUUCCACAGAUGUAAAGUGAAUUCUUGCUAGAUGGACCAGACAUUUAAUGGUCAACCACCAGGGCCCAGUUUCCAGGCCCCAGGUGUUGGUGGCUCAUUUACACCUGUUAUUUUGUUAUUUGUUUUCCUCUUUGCCUGUCUUGUCUCUUCUUUACUGUUUUAAUAGCUGUUUUCUGGCAUACCACUCAUUCCUUUAAUGAUUUUUAAUUUUUAAAUUUUAUACUUAGCAGAUGCUAAGUAUUAUAGUAUACAUAUUUCAGUAUCUACUUCAUAUUUAUACUAACAAUUCCAGAAAGAUAGAGAAACUGCCCCAGUAUAGCUCCAGCCACUCCUCUCUCCUUUGUGGCCCUUAUUAACUUUGUCUAUAUGUUACAACUCAACCAUAUCCUGUUAUAUUGUUCUUAUAUAAUCUUGUUCUUAAAACUUUAGAGGAAAGAAUAUAGUUUUGGAGGAGUUCAUUAAUCUUCACAUUUGCCAUUUCUAGUGCUCUUGAUUUCUCUUUCUGUAGAUUUGCAUUAUGUGGCAUAUUACUAAAGAAAACCAGUAUGGUCUCCUUGCUGGGCCUCAUUGACUGCAGGUUGCUGGAACAGAAUCUGCUCUAUGUUCCAUAAGCCAUCUGGCAUUUGUACAGGCCUUGAUAAGGUUCAAAGUGCUUUUGUUGCCCGUGGUUUAUAUCAUGAGACUUGUAAUUCCUUGUGAACACACAAUCAGGCUAAUGUCUUAAGGACCAGGAAACACCCUGAAUUAAUAAAAGGGUGUGCCCUUUCCUCUUCUCUGAGAACCUAAGCUGCUGCUCUGAAACCAGAAUGUUCUUCUGAAACAAUUAUAAUUUCAGAAUAAGUCAUUGGGGUCAAGUGGCACUAACUUGUCCACAUUAGCAAGCAUCUGAGCUUUCUUGGCCGUUCAGUGAUCAAGUUGGUGGGAUUUGGGAAAGGGUGGGAGAAAUAUAUUUCCGUAGAUACCAAUUCUUUCUAAAAACUAGAGAGAAAUAAUGACCAUUCAGUUUUAAAGCUUCCAAGCAUUUACUUACAAAACAGGGCGUACCUAACAUGGUCCAGGACAGCAGGAAUGUAGGAGGGAAGCCCAGCCCUCUGCCUGGGUCCUGAUCUGUUUCAUGGAGACUUUGUAUCAUGAUCCCAGAAUGGGCUUUCUACAGAUUUGCAUUUGUUCCUUGCAACAAAUACUCCUAAGAAGCCUGGAUUCUAAUCUCCUCAGACAGCUCAAGUUUGCAGGGUACACCAGCUGCCCAGGAAAUGGGCCCUCCUUCAGUAUUUCAUUGAGGCAGCUCCCUGAAACUUGGUCACAACAUCAAAGACUAUUCAAAAAGCCCAGGUAGGGUAGGUGGCCCCAGGAAAGAUGAGGGUGAUGGAGUGCAGCCUGCCUACCCAGGACACCUCAGACCCUGGGGGAGUAGUAGGCAGAGGGAGGAGUCCCUGAGAACAGGGAGGAUUCCCCUGCAGCCUCUCUUCAUUACAGACAAUAGAAUUUUUUCCCCUGGGGAUUGAAUCCAGGGCCUGAUACCUGCCAGGCAAGCGCUAUGCCAAUAAGCUACAUCUCCAGCCCUCUUAUUUUUGAGACAGGGUCUCACCAAGUGUCCAGUCUGGCACUGAAUUUGUAGUCCUUCUGCCUCAGCCUCUCAAGUACCUGGAAUUACAGGCAUCUGCCACCAUACCCAGCUCAGCUUACAAAAUUCUAUGGGGACACAAGAACUUACAACAAUGUGAAUAUUCACAAUAUCCAAAAAGUGGAAACAGUUCACACCUCCGGCUAAUGAAUGGAUAAACAAAAUGUGGUCUAUCCAUAUACAAUGGAGUGGCUUUUUAACCAUGGAAUGAUGUACUCAUACAUACGAAGAAACAGUGAACCUUGAAAAUGUGCUAAAUGGUAGAAGCCAGUCGUGAAAGAACACAUUUGACUCCAUUUAUGUGAAAUAUGCAGGAGACUCCAGAGACAGAAAGCAAGUCAGUGGCUGCCACAGCCUGAGACGGGGCGGGAGGCAAUGAAAACAUUCUAAAAUAGGUUAUGGUGAUUUUAGCACAACAUUACGAAUAUACUUCUUUUAAAAACUUUAUUUUUUUUAUGUGGUGCCAAGUGCCUCACACGUGCUAGGCAAGUGCUCUACCACCCUACCACCGAGCAACAACCCCAACUCAUGAAUAUACUUUUUUUUUGGGGGGGAGGGACAGGGAACCAUGAAUAUACUUUUUUAAAAUAUUUUUUUAGUUGUCAAUGGAUUUUUAUUUUAUUUAUGUAUAUGCAGUGCUGAGACUCGAACCCAGUGUCUCACACAUGCUAGGCAAGUGUUCUACAACUGAGCCACAACCUCAGCCCGUGAAUAUACUUUUAAAUUAAAUCUCUAAAUUGUAUACUUAAAAAAUGGUGAAGUAUGUUUUAUCUUAAGAAUAAUUUGAGCUGGGUGCAGUGGAGAAUGCCUGUAAUUUGGGAGGCUGAGACAAGAGGAUCCUGAGUUCAAAGCCAGCCUCAGCAAAAAGUGAGGUACUAAACAACUCAGUGAGACCCUGACUCUAAAUAAAACACAAAAUAGGGCUGGGGAUGUGGCUCAGUGGUCGAGUGGCCCCCAAGUUCAAUACCCAGUACCCUCCAAGAAAGAAUAAUUUGCUGUUACAACACACCCCCCAUGGAGACAGCGCGUCCAAGUAGACACAUAAUUACUGUACCGACAGCAUCAUGGAGUUGGAAGUUUGACUCUCCCACUUUUCCUUUUCCUCAGGCCACCUUCUUUGCACAAUGAGCCAUACACUUGAAGGAUGGGGGUGAGAUCUCCCACAGAAUGCUGAGACCGAGGCUGUGACAGCAGUGAUCUUCGCUGCAAAUCAGAGCGUGAAACUGGCUGAUUCAGGCAGAAGUGGGAUUCAUGAAAGAAUGGUUCUGAGCACAGAGAACUGCUGAGAGGGUGGAGAGCUGGGCACAGACCGACCAGGGGGAGUAGGGGAGGAAAAGUCUGCACCACCUGUCGGACUUCACUUCUGUGGAUUCCCAAGGUCAGAGCGACCGAUGUUCAUCUUUCAACUGAAACAGCACCGGAGGCAACCUUUUAAGAUCUCCUAUUCUCUGUUUUCUACAUUUAUUAUUAUUACUAUUGUUACUAUUAUUACUAUUAUUAUUAUUAAAAAGUCCAAAAGGAGUUUGGGAGAAAG